UACAGAGGUCCCAAGCGUUGUUCGGAUUCAUUGGGCGUAAAGGGUGCGUAGGCGGCGCGGUAAGUCGGGUGUGAAAUCUCGGGGCUUAACUGUGGAAGUGCCUCCGAUACUGCGGGGCUCGAGCGAGGUAGGGGCAGCUGGAACUUCCGGUGGAGCGGUGAAAUGCGUUGAUAUCGGAAGGAACGCCGGUGGCGAAAGCGAGCUGCUGGACCUCUUCUGACGCUGAGGCGCGAAAGCCAGGGGAGCAAACGGG
rnacentral:rRNA from 1 species